UACGUAGGGUGCAAGCGUUAUCCGGAAUUAUUGGGCGUAAGGAGCUCGUAGGCGGUUUGUCACGUCUGCUGUGAAAACCCGAGGCUCAACCUCGGGCCUGCAGUGGGUACGGGCAGACUAGAGUGCGGUAGGGGAGAUUGGAAUUCCUGGUGUAGCGGUGGAAUGCGCAGAUAUCAGGAGGAACACCGAUGGCGAAGGCAGAUCUCUGGGCCGGCAUUGACGCUGAGGCGCGAAAGCUAGGGGAGCAAACGGG
rnacentral:rRNA from 1 species